GAUGAACGCCAGCGGCAGGCCUAACACAUACAAGUCGAGGGGCAGCACAGAAACAGCAAUGUUUUGGUGGCGACCGGCGGACGGGUGCGUAACGCGUAUGCAACCUACCUUUAACAGGGGGAUAACGGAGAGAAAUUUCCACUAAUACCCCAUAACAUCGAUCAAGGCAUCUUGAUUGGUUGAAAACUCCGGUGGUUAAAGAUGGGCAUGCGUUGUAUUAGGUAGUUGGUGAGGUAAUGGCUCACCAAGCCUACGAUACAUAGGGGGACUGAGAGGUUAGCCCCCCACACUGGUACUGAGACACGGACCAGACUCCUACGGGAGGCAGCAGUGAGGAAUAUUGGUCAAUGGGGGCAACCCUGAACCAGCCAUGCCGCGUGCAGGAAGACGGCUCUAUGAGUUGUAAACUGCUUUUAAACAGGGAUGAAGCACGGUAUGUAUACUGUGUUGAAGGUACUGUAAGAAUAAGGAUCGGCUAACUCCGUGCCAGCCGCCGCGGUAA
rnacentral:rRNA from 1 species